rnacentral:misc_RNA from 1 species
GCUGAAUUUCCUGUGGAUCCCAUGUUAUCCAAAUGUAUUUUGGCUUCAGAACAAUACAAAUGUGCCAAAGAAAUCCUGACAAUCUGUGCUAUGUUAUCUGUGAACAAUGCUGUGUUUUACCGACCAAAAGACAAAGUGGUGCAUGCAGACACAGCACGUGUGAAUUUCUUUCGGCCUGGAGGUGAUCAUUUGACUCUGUUAAAUGUGUACGAUCAGUGGGAGGAGACAGCUUUCUCCACGCAGUGGUGUUACGAAAACUUUAUUCAGCACCGAUCCAUGAAAAGGGCUCGCGAUAUUCGUGACCAGUUGGAAGGCCUAAUGGAGAGAGUAGAGAUUGAGAUCUCUACAAAUCCUGGAGACUCAGUGGCCAUUCGUAAGGCAAUUACAGCUGGGUUCUUUUACCACACUGCUCGAUUAGACAAGGGAGGUAAUUAUAAAACUGUCAAAUAUCAUCAAACAGUAUUGGUUCACCCGAACAGCAGCAUGUUCGAAGAUCGACCUAAGUGGCUCAUUUACCAUGAACUGGUGUUCACAACGAAAGAAUUCAUGAGACAGGUGAUAGAAAUUGACAAUUCAUGGCUACUUGAAGUUGCACCACAUUACUAUAAGCAGAAAGAGUUGGAGGACACAUCGAAGAGGAAAAUGCCAAAAGGAGCUGGCAAAUCUCGAGAGGAGAUGACAAGGACUUAUUAAUUAUUGAUGUGGAGAGAGACAAGAGAGGAUUAGAGAGAGCAUUACUGACAAGGACCUGUUCUCAUUGCUUUUUCUUGUGUCUGUGUAAAUAAACUUGCUACAUUAUUGAAGCACUGGAAAUAACAUACAAUCAUGUACAUCCAUUGUAGUUACAUUUGUCAUUCCUUCCAGACCAGAACUUUUUCUGAUUAUUCAUAGUUUUGAAAUCAUUUCAAUAAUAAAAACUCAAAAAUGGUACAAUGG